AACUUUCAGCAACGGAUCUCUUGGCUCCCGCAACGAUGAAGAACGCAGUGAAAUGCGAAACGUAAUGCGAUUUGCAAAACCUGUGAGUCAUCGAGUCUUUGAACGCACUUGGCACUGGGCAGCAAUGCUCCGUAUACCUGUUUGAGAAUCGAAAACAAAUAAUUGGUGGUCAAGCGGUGCUUGUCUGCUGAAAGCAAGGAUGCGCGGGCCGGACGACGGUGGUGCGCUGUGUAUUAACAGGACUGUGGUCUUGCAUCGCAGCGCAAUACCGCCAACCGGAAUCACCACGCAACGUGGCUCAAAACCACAUCACCCCCUAUCGAUCUCAGGUCAGGCAGGACUACCCGCCGAACUUAAGCAUAUCAAUAAGCGGAGGCU
rnacentral:misc_RNA from 1 species